UACGUAGGGUGCGAGCGUUUAAUCGGAAUUACUGGGCGUAAAGCGUGCGCAGGCGGUUUUGUAAGCCAGAUGUGAAAUCCCCGGGCUUAACCUGGGAACUGCAUUUGUGACUGCAUGGCUAGAGUUUGGCAGAGGGGGGGUAGAAUUCCACGUGUAGCAGUGAAAUGCGUAGAUAUGUGGAGGAACACCGAUGGCGAAGGCAGCCCCCUGGGUCAAGACUGACGCUCAUGCACGAAAGGCGUGGGGAGCAAACGAGGAUUAGAGUACCC
rnacentral:rRNA from 1 species